GCGCUUAGCUCAGUUGGUAGAGCGUCUGCCUUACAAGCAGAAUGUCGGCGGUUCGAUCCCGUCAGCCGCUGCGCCA
rnacentral:tRNA from 1 species